rnacentral:misc_RNA from 1 species
UCUCCGUUGGUGAACCAGCGGAGGGAUCAUUACAGGACUCGCAAGACUCCUUCACCCUGUGAACCUCACUACAAGCACGUUGCUUCGGCGGGUGUCCCGGCGGGGGUUUUCCCUCGCCGGGGCGCACAGCCCGCCGGCAGCCUACUAUACUCUGUCUCUUUGCGUUGGCAUCUCGAGAAAAAACAAACAGGUUAAAACUUUCAACAACGGAUCUCUUGGUUCUG